CCUACGGGUGGCAGCAGUGAGGAAUAUUGGUCAAUGGGAGAGAUCCUGAACCAGCCAAGCCGCGUGAGGGAAGACGGCCCUAUGGGUUGUAAACCUCUUUUGUCGGAGAACAAAACCCGGUACGCGUCCCGUACUGCGUGUAUCCGACGAAAAAGCAUCGGCUAACUCCGUGCCAGCAGCCGCGGUAAUACGGAGGAUGCGGGCGUUAUCCGGAUUUAUUGGGUUUAAAGGGUGCGUAGGCGGUCUGUUAAGUCAGCGGUAAAAUUGCGGGGCUAAACCCCGUCGAGCCGUUGAAACUGGGAGACUUGAGUGGGCGAGAAGUAGGCGGAAUGCGCGGUGUAGCGGUGAAAUGCAUAGAUAUCGCGCAGAACUCCGAUUGCGAAGGCAGCGUACCGGAGCCAGACUGACGCUGAGGCACGAAAGCGUGGGGAUCGAAAAGGAUUAGAUACCCCGGUAGUC
rnacentral:rRNA from 1 species